rnacentral:rRNA from 1 species
CUACGGGACGCUGCAGUGGGGAAUAUUGGACAAUGGGCGAAAGCCUGAUCCAGCAAUGCCGCGUGUGUGAAGAAGGCCUGCGGGUUGUAAAGCACUUUCAAUUGGGAAGAAAAGCCUGGGGCUAAUACCCUCGGGUCUUGACGUUACCUUUAGAAGAAGCACCGGCUAACUCCGUGCCAGCAGCCGCGGUAAUACGGAGGGUGCGAGCGUUAAUCAGAAUUACUGGGCGUAAAGCGCGCGUAGGCGGCUUGUUAAGUCAGAUGUGAAAGCCCUGGGCUCAACCUGGGAACUGCAUUUGAUACUGGCAGGCUAGAGUGUGGUAGAGGGAAGUGGAAUUCCAGGUGUAGCGGUGAAAUGCGUAGAUAUCUGGAGGAACAUCAGUGGCGAAGGCGACUUCCUGGACCAACACUGACGCUGAGGUGCGAAAGCGUGGGUAGCAAACAGGAUUAGAUACCCGCGUAGUC